rnacentral:rRNA from 1 species
GGGUCAGUAGGUUGGUCGUGCCACCGGUACGUACUGGUCUCACUGAUUCCUCCUUCCUGAAGAACCGUAAUGCCAUUAAUUUGGUAUUGCGGGGGAACAGGACUGUUACUUUGAAAAAAUUAGAGUGUUUAAAGCAAGCUAACGCUUGAAUACAUUAGCAUGGAAUAAUGAAAUAGGACGAUCGAUCCUAUUUUGUUGGUUUCUAGGAUUGACGUA